GACGAACGCUGGCGGCGUGCUUAACACAUGCAAGUCGAACGCUGAAGCUCAGCUUGCUGGGUGGAUGAGUGGCGAACGGGUGAGUAACACGUGAGUAACCUGCCCUCUUCUUUGGGAUAACGCCCGGAAACGGGUGCUAAUACUGGAUAUUCACUGAUUCUCGCAUGGGGGUUGGUGGAAAGGUUUUUUCUGGUGGGGGAUGGGCUCGCGGCCUAUCAGCUUGUUGGUGGGGUGAUGGCCUACCAAGGCUUUGACGGGUAGCCGGCCUGAGAGGGUGACCGGUCACAUUGGGACUGAGAUACGGCCCAGACUCCUACGGGAGGCAGCAGUGGGGAAUAUUGCACAAUGGGCGAAAGCCUGAUGCAGCGACGCCGCGUGAGGGGUGGAGGCCUUCGGGUUGUAAACCUCUUUCGCUCAUGGUCAAGCCGCAGCUUUGGGUUGUGGUGAGGGUAGUGGGUAAAGAAGCGCCGGCUAACUACGUG
rnacentral:rRNA from 1 species